CGGGGGGGGUGCAAGCGUUAUUCGGAAUCACUGGGCGUAAAGAGCGCGUAGGGCGGUCUCUUAAGUCAGAUGUGAAAGCCCGGGGCUUAACCCCGGAAGUGCAUUUGAAACGGAGGGACUUGAGUAUGGGAGAGGGAAGUGGAAUUCCUGGUGUAGCGGUGAAAUGCGUAGAUAUCAGGAGGAACACCGGUGGCGAUGGCGACUUCCUGGACCAAUACUGACGCUGAGGCGCGAAGGCGUGGGGAGCAAACAGGAUUAGAUACCCUGGUAGUCCACGCAGUAAACGUUGAACACUAGGUGUAGCGGGUAUUGACCCCUGCUGUGCCGCAGCUAACGCAUUAAGUGUUCCGCCUGGGAAGUACGGCCGCAAGGCUA
rnacentral:rRNA from 1 species